rfam:Schistosoma curassoni strain Dakar, Senegal genome assembly, scaffold: SCTD_scaffold0015133
AUCAAACUGACGAGUCCCAAAUAAAACAAAAGACGUGUCUUUGAU